CGCUACAACAGUGUACGCGUGCGUGUGGACAAAUCGAGCAUUAGUUCUGAUAAUACAAGUGUUGAUCAUGCGCGAUCCUGAAUACUCAAUAGUCGUCAAGCACCAUAUCGUUUAACAGGAAAAUGAAUACAAUAGUAACAUCGGUGCAUAAGAACGCAUUUACAGAACAGGUAAAAACUCUAGAUUGAAUAGCUUAGUAAAAACGUGGCAACGCUUCCUCUCUAAAUUAUAGUAUGCUGCUAUAGGUUGUCAGGAGAAAUAAGGCAGUAACAUCGUAGUAUCAACAGAAUUAAGACGGAUAUGAUGCAUGAAGUCCGAAUACAGGAGCAAUAUUAUUGAUUGACAUUUGGGACAUAAACUGUAAAGCUCAAUUCAAGGUCUCAUGCACACGUGUCAAUAUUAUGGUGCCAACACUGGGAUUCAGUUUCUAGUGCCUGAUGCAGUACAGAUCAGGGGGCGAUUCCUUGAAUCCAGGCUUCCACUCGGAGCCUCCCGUAGAAGUGAACCCCAGGGGAAAUUAUGAGGUCGGGGUUAGCCUAAUGGGUUGGGUCUGUUUGUGUGUCCCCUAGGUCGGGUAUGGGUUAUGUCUGUGUCUAGUCACCUUGAUGAAUUGUUAAUCUAUUGCUUAGCUCCUAUCCGCUCAGUAGUUAGUUAUGUCCUACCUCGAUGACAUGUUCUCCAUGCGUCAGAGCCUGUUCUGCCGCUGUCUUUCAGUCUUGUGUAAGUCGGAAGAUCGUGUCAGUAGAACUAUCUACACGUCAUGGUAAUAUCUUGUGCGUCAACGUGUUCGAGCCCUCCCGGUUCCGACCCCCUCGGCCGCAAGCCGCGCCGCCCCCGCAGUGUCCCUUAGUGAAGUUACACGUAAGCAGUAGUUGUAGCAGGUAUAAAAAGGGGGAAGGAGUAGGAGGAAAAGGAAGGGGGGUGUGGAAGGGUCUGUGAGCAGUUUACACCGGAGUGCGCCCGGGCAUCCCCAACCCCCGGGUGUCGCAGUGAGCUCGUGCCUCUCUAAGUUCUGGUACGGGAGAGAUAGACAUACCAUGGGGUCCAGAUGUCGACAUGUCUGGUGCUUCUCCCUAGUAGUUCUGCGUAUCGUGCCUCAGCUGUGUGUAUUUCCUCAACUCUCUGUAGCCAUUCUGCUACGGUUGGUGGGUGGAUCUGCUUCCACUUAGCUGGUAUAGACGCUUUCGCAGCAUUGAGCAGGUGUCUCAGUAUCGAUCUCUUAUAUUGGGCUAUCGAGCUUUCCGUAAAGUGUAGUAAGGCCAUUUCCAUGGUAAAUUCUGGUAAGUCACCCACGAUUGUCGUUAUCUCCCUCUUGAUGUCUUCCCAGUAUGGUUUGAUCCGCGCGCAGUCCCACCAGAUAUGUCGUAGGGUGCCUGUUUGGGAUUCGCAUCUCCAGCACGUAUCUGUCGUUCCCGGGAAUAUCCUGUGUAAUAGAGAUGGGGUUCUGUACCAGUGUGAGAGUAAUUUGAAGUUGACCUCCUGAUACCUUGUGCUUAUGGAGCUCUUGUGUUGUAAUAUUAAUAUCUGCUCCCAUUGCGCCUCUGUGUACGUCCUUGCCGUCAGUUCUUCCCAUUGCCUCUUAAAUGCAUUUUUACGUGUGCGAUCCCCUGUGAUCAACUGCUGGUAAAGGAUUGAUACUCUGCCGUCUGUGUCGGUGUUUGUCACGCAGAGGUGUUCGAACCACGUCUGUUCUCUGUGGAUCGCUUCACGGUUGGGAAGGUUGUAGUAGAAGUGCCGCAAUUGUGUGUAUCGAAAUCUGUGCAUCAGCGUGUGUUGUGUCGCCGUGCUCCAUUCUGGCAGGUUUCUCAUUCCUGUGUUGCUCAGGACCUUGGACAACGGGAUAUAAUCUCCGUCUCCAUCUAUCGGCCAGGC